rnacentral:rRNA from 1 species
AGAGUUUGAUCAUGGCUCAGAAUCAACGCUGGCGGCGCGCUUAACACAUGCAAGUCGAGCGAGAAAGUCCCCUUCGGGGGAUGAGUAAAGCGGCGGACGGGUGAGUAACACGUGGGUUACCUGCCCUUGAGUGGGGAAUAACCUCGGGAAACUGGGGCUAAUACCGCAUACGAUCCUUCGGGAUGAAAGCCUUCGGGCGCUCAAGGAGGGGCCCGCGGCCGAUUAGCUAGUUGGUAGGGUAAUGGCCUACCAAGGCGUCGAUCGGUAGCCGGCCUGAGAGGGCACACGGCCACACUGGCACUGAGACACGGGCCAGACUCCUACGGGAGGCAGCAGUGGGGAAUCUUGGACAAUGGGGGAAACCCUGAUCCAGCGACGCCGCGUGACCGAUGACGCCCUUCGGGGUGUAAAGGUCUUUCGGCGGGGACAAUAAUGAUGGUACCCGCAGAAGAAG